GCCGCUGGGGGAGGAAGCCCGAGGCCGGCGCAGCGGCCGGGCCGGGGACCCUGGGCGCGGGGCCUGGCGCGGCGGCCUUCCCCUCCUCUCCUCGCCUCCUCGUCUCCUCCCCUCCUCGCCUUUUCUGGCCCAGUCGGGUGGUCGGGGCGGCGGCGGGCGAGGCUGGAGCUCGCCCGAGCCGGGCCCGCUGCGGAAAUGGAGCUGGGGGUUUUAAACUGCGGACGUUUCCCUCCAUGUUGGCGGCGCGGCGCGGCUGUGGAGCGGCGGCGGCAGGGAGGGUUCGUGGGCGCCUUUGUCCUGCCCCACCGCAGCCUGGCUCCCGGCCCCUCCGAGCGCCCGUCUGACAGAUGAGCAGGCGGCCCCGCGGUCCUGCAGUAGGAGGCUGACAGGGCGCGGCGGCCUGGCGGGACGGGGAAGGGUCUGCGGCCGAGGUGGGCUUAGAUUCGCGCUGCUUGUCACUGGCUUUGAGGGUCGUGGUCGUCGCGGUUUGGUGAUUCUCCAGGCACACUGCAUGGCUGCUCGCUCCUAUGCGUUGAAUUCCUUCGCCCGGACAGUCUCAAAAAUCGGGUUAAUUAUAGAAAAUGCCAAGUAGGAAAUUUGCCGAUGGUGAAGUGGUAAGAGGUCGAUGGCCUGGGAGUUCACUUUAUUAUGAAGUAGAAAUUCUGAGCCACGACAGCACCUCCCAGCUUUACACUGUGAAGUAUAAAGAUGGAACAGAGCUUGAAUUGAAAGAGAA
rnacentral:lncRNA from 10 species